UUGACGGAUGGUGGAUGGUGCCAGUGUGAAUUGGAUUUUUUGACAGAUGUGAAACUCCGAUUCACACUGUCACCAUCCGUCAAAACAAGCUGAAAACAACGAGGCGCUUUUCAAAGAGAGUUUCCGAAUGGAUAGGAAUGCUGUGGAGAAUGGACACGAACUGACGGGCUGCAAUUCCUUUGGAAAAGCGCAUUGCCAUUGCGUUAAAUACUUCGGGCUCGUCCUCUGAGUACCGAACAGUUGGCAGGCUUUUCGGUGUGGCUCCAAACAGUGGGCUCCUGCACGAGUUUGGCAGAGCACUAAUCGACGAGUUUUCUAAGGGGUACACGUCACCCAUCUUCCGACAAAAUUGAUGAGUGCGUAAAGGGUUUCCUCAGUGCCUAGGUGCAAUUGAUUGAUGCCACAUCUAAAUAAAACCACCACCAGCUGAGGCAGUAGACCACCAGAACUAGAAGGACUGUUAUUCCACAGGCUUGUUUGCCCUAGUGGAUUAUACGUAUGAAAAUAUCUUAUACAUAUUUACAUAUGUAAAUAUCGGCUCUGCAGCAAGGUGCAAUGACUCGAUGAUAUACCAGAAGUCAAGUCUUGCAAAAUGGAUCGAAGCAUUGGAAUUACGCCAAGAGAAAGCCAAGAAAGUAUGCGGAGUAUGCACGCGCUUGUUCCGGCUUUGUGUCAGUCGGGAAAUGGGAUGGGUUAAAGGAAGAAGCCACUGCUCUAUCCGCUCGCCUUAAUAUAUAAACCCAUUGAGAUCCGCUUGCGAUGAACAAUUCGUAUAGAAAAUAAAAAAAGAACAAAGGAAAAGACAGAAAACAAAGAGAACUAUCAGCAGACUUUUGUCAUGUGGCGCAAGAUUUAAACGCGACCACCAUUGCCCUCCCUUCCAUGAUCGCUAAAUUCCAAAAUAAAUGUGAAUAGCGAUCCCAAAAAAAGUCUAUCUGGUCUACCUAUGCAUGUACAUAUUUAUCCACAACACGACGCAUGACCCCCACCAAGUAAUUGCUCUAGCAGGAAUUCAUAUUAAUGCCCAUAGCUUAUUUUAUUUAAUCUUGCAAUUGUAUCCAUCGAAAUGGCGAUUCUGAUCUAAUUUUCAAGGUAAACUCAUAAUAUAACUCAGUAGAGUAGUAGGGUAGAGUAUGUGGGUGGCUUAUCCUAAAUAUUGGCUAUAUGACGAAUAAUGAUUAAUACUAGAUGAGGAAUGAUGUUCAAUGAAUGAUUUUGAUAAAGUAAUGGGGGUGAAUAAUAAAGUUAAUAGAUAC